rnacentral:lncRNA from 1 species
GCAAGGACAUAUGCUCCCCCUCCCCUACCUAAAGCCCCAAAUAAAAACCCUUCCUUCUAGCUUUUUGGGGAGUUUGGGAUUUCAGCGUUAGCUGCCCUCUCUUCUUGCUCAGCACUGUGCAAAAAUAAAAUUUCUACUUUAUUCCACCACACCCGGUGUCAGAGAUUGGCUUGCUGCACAACGGGACCGGCCGGAAAUAAUGGGUACCUUGGCAGCCCUCUGGGCUCCGUUUGUUUUGAAGUCACCGCGACGCCCUGGCCAAAUUUUGGACACAAUUGGAAACAGUGGUUAUAUUACCAAGGCUUUGACUGGAACAUCAUGUUUGAAAAAACAUACGGGCUUGGAUAUAACAAGACAGCUUUUGAGGAAUGAAGGUUGACAUUCUGGAAUAAAGCCACUUGGAAAUAUUGGCCUGGUACUGUACUUAUGGGUUCUGUAACCUGGUAAGGUUAAGCAAAGAAUGUCGCUCCCUCUGGCAGGUAAAAGGAACCUCAAUAUUUUGGGGAGCCUCAUGAAGAGAGGGAUUCACCCAAAUCUGUAGGUACUGCAGGCAGAAUGUGAUAACAGGUCCUUUGCUUGGCUUUCUUUGAGAGACCUUUAAAAUUCAACCUGAGAUUCCUUAUAAGGUUCCAGCAAAGCAGAUUUAAAAGAGCCUAUAUGAUCAAUUACUAUUCUUGCUGUACUUAUGUAAAUAAUUAUGCCAAAUUUAUUAAAACUGGACAUUUUGCAAACCAGUUAGUCUUAAUUUGGCUAUGUCUAGUGAAAUUGAAGAUGAUUUUAGGGAGGAAGAUUAUAUUUCAAUGGAAAACUAUAAUACAUAUUUAUAAAUAUUGGAUUUUAGUUUUUUCAAUUAUCUUUGAAAUUUUUGUUUUACUUCUGUUAACUGGACUGGAUCUUGAAUUCUUCAUCUCCUGAAAUAUCUGGCUAAAAACCUCCAAACUAACAUUUUCAGGGUUUUUUUUCUCAUUAUUUUCAUUUGGAGUCAUUGAAAACUAAAUCUGCCCUUUGUCCUAAAGCCUUACAAACUGAAGCUGGAGGACCUAAUAUAAACUUAAGAGAGAUUCAUGUCUACUGCUGUGUAAGCCACUCAAAAAGCUACCUGAGUGCCCAAUGACACCAUCAGAGACAUUUCAAACUGCAAAAGAUGCUUCGACCCUGACUUCUAGGAAUCUUGAUUGGCUGCCCCCUGGACUCAGAAACUGGUUUAUAAUUUGCUCCGAUCAUUAACCUUGUUUUUCUCUUUUUGUUUCUCUAGAAAAACUCUUUAUUAAAUACCUGGUUACUUACUUACAUGAUACAGGCCUACCUUCAGGAGCCCACCAGCAUCACUGCCUUAUUAAAAGACUGGUUCAAUGAGAUGAAACGACCUACGCCCCAUUUCAGCAGGAAGUAGCUAGAUCGGUUGCCACCCCAAAUCCCUCAAGAUUGAGGGAUGGACAUAAAAUAGGGGGGAAGUUGACACUGAUCCUGAUAUCAGUUUCCCCACACUAAACCCAGCAUAUAUGGGGUUAAAAGCAAAACAACCAUUCCCUGCUUGCUCUCUGGCUUCCUGGCUCCAGAAUCCACUAUUCUCCAUGGAGACAGACAUCAUCAAGGACAAGCACCUGGACUAUCUCCUCCCACAAAGAUAUACGGGCUGGUGGGAAAGCUGCUGACCAGCAAGGUCAUGAGCUCGCUCCUGUCUGCAAGUAGUCUCAAGGCCAAAGACAAGCUGGUGGGAAAGCUCCAACCAGCAAGGCCAUAUGCUCCCCCUCCCCUACCUAAAGCCCCAAAUAAAAACCCUUCCUUCUAGCUUUUCGGGGAGUUUGGGAUUUCAGCGUUAGCUGCCCUCUCUCCUUGCUCAGCACUGUGCAAAAAUAAAAUUUCUACUUUCUUCCACCACACUCAGUGUCAGAGACUGGCUUGCUGCACAACGGGUGAGCGAACUCACUUCAGGUUGGGUAACACUAUGUAUGAAGAUUGAGUUGUUU